CGAUUGUAGCUAUAUUAACAAAGAAAAGAGGGAAAAAAACUGGUCGGGUUGCCCUUACCAUGGGCAACCCGCUUACCGAGCUUCCCACAGUA